GGACUACUCUGAUCUCUGGCUUCCCCUGACUUUGGCUUUCCUUGACUACGCUUCUGCUAAUCCCUGCUGUACUGCUUCUUGGAGCACUAUUCCUGGAAAGCCCCCGUGCACAGACUCACAGAUCAGGUGGCGUCUUACCUGUUCACCCUGGUCUGUGUCUACUUUGCAAGGGUGAGCGUAUAACUCUGCGAGCCGGACUCCCCAUCAGGUAAGAACCUGACAUCUUGUAGGUGAGCAUCAGAUGUGGGAGUACGGACAGAGGAUAGACAUAGGUCUUG
rnacentral:lncRNA from 1 species